GGGCUGUAGCUCAGUGGGUAGAGCAUUUGCUUUGCCUGCAGAAGGCCCCGGGUUCAAUUCCUGACAGCAUCU